GAUCCUGGCUUAGGAUGAACGCUAGCUACAGGCUUAACACAUGCAAGUCGAGGGGCAGCGAGAGGAAAGCUUGCUUCCUUGUCGGCGACCGGCGCACGGGUGAGUAACGCGUAUCCAACCUUCCCCUUAGUAGGGCAUAGCCCGGCGAAAGUCGGAUUAAUACCCUAUGUUUUCCAAUGAGGACAUCUGAGCUGGAACAAAGAUUUAUCGCUAAGGGAUGGGGAUGCGUCUGAUUAGGUAGUCGGCGGGGUAACGGCCCACCGAGCCUACGAUCAGUAGGGGUUCUGAGAGGAAGGUCCCCCACAUUGGUACUGAGACACGGACCAAACUCCUACGGGAGGCAGCAGUGAGGAAUAUUGGUCAAUGGGCGCGAGCCUGAACCAGCCAAGUAGCCGUGCAGGAAGACUGCCCUAUGGGUUGUAAACUGCUUUUAUACGGGGAUAAAGUGAGGUAUGCAUACCUUUUUGUAGGUACCGUAUGAAUAAGGACCGGCUAAUUCCGUGCCAGCAGCGGC
rnacentral:rRNA from 1 species